AUGGAUGUGCACAAAUACAUCUGAGACAAGCUCAGUUGUCCAUUACCAGGGCAAAAAAUAAAACUGCACGUAUAGUCUGUGAGGCUUCUGGCAUUCAGAACUUCAGGAGUGCUGUUAUACACUGGUAUCGACACAGACCUGGUGAAGCUCCAGAGCGGAUUCUGUACAUCUCACCUGAAAACCUUAAAUUUGACAAAGACUCCGAUGAGAACAAGUUUAAUUGUGAAAAGAAGCCUGACCAGCCCAUCUCUACCCUAACAGUACAUGAAAUAGCUCCUAACGAUGGAGCUACCUAUUAUUGUGCCUAUUGGGAUCACAUAGUAUUAGAAAGCCAUAGACAGCCUGUACAAAAACCUCACUCUGAAUACUGA